AAGUGAUGAAGCCUUGAGGUUGGUCAGGCAACGGCAGGGUGGAGCUUAUAUUUUAUGGUUUCAUAAAAUCCAAAACCUGGAUAGGCUUUCUGCUGAAAAGAAAAUUAUGAUUA
rnacentral:sRNA from 12 species